GGGGCAACGCUGGGCCGGCGUGCUUACACAUGCAAGUCGAACGAUGAAGCCCAGCUUGCUGGGUGGAUUAGUGGCGAACGGGUGAGUAACACGUGGGUGAUCUGCCCUGCACUUCGGGAUAAGCCUGGGAAACUGGGUCUAAUACCGGAUAGGACCUCGGGAUGCAUGUUCCGGGGUGGAAAGGUUUUCCGGUGCAGGAUGGGCCCGCGGCCUAUCAGCUUGUUGGUGGGGUAACGGCCCACCAAGGCGACGACGGGUAGCCGGCCUGAGAGGGCGACCGGCCACACUGGGACUGAGACACGGCCCAGACUCCUACGGGAGGCAGCAGUGGGGAAUAUUGCACAAUGGGCGCAAGCCUGAUGCAGCGACGCCGCGUGAGGGAUGACGGCCUUCGGGUUGUAAACCUCUUUCAGUACCGACGAAGCGCAAGUGACGGUAGGUACAGAAGAAGCACCGGCCAACUACGUGCCAGCAGCCGCGGUAAUACGUAGGGUGCGAGCGUUGUCCGGAAUUACUGGGCGUAAAGAGCUCGUAGGCGGUUUGUCGCGUCGUCUGUGAAAACCCGCAGCUCAACUGCGGGCUUGCAGGCGAUACGGGCAGACUUGAGUACUGCAGGGGAGACUGGAAUUCCUGGUGUAGCGGUGAAAUGCGCAGAUAUCAGGAGGAACACCGGUGGCGAAGGCGGGUCUCUGGGCAGUAACUGACGCUGAGGAGCGAAAGCGUGGGUAGCGAACAGGAUUAGAUACCCUGGUAGUCCACGCCGUAAACGGUGGGCGCUAGGUGUGGGUUUCCUUCCACGGGAUCCGUGCCGUAGCUAACGCAUUAAGCGCCCCGCCUGGGGAGUACGGGCCGCAAGGCUAAAACUCAAAGGAAUUGACGGAAGGGCG
rnacentral:rRNA from 1 species